ensembl:snRNA U6 U6 spliceosomal RNA
CUGCUCACUUCGGCAGCACAUAUACUAAAAUUGGAAUGAUACAGAGAACAUUAGCAUGGUUCCUGCACAAGGAUGACACGCAAGUUCGUGAAGCUUUCCGUAUUUUU